UACGGAGGGUGCGAGCGUUGUCCGGAAUCACUGGGCGUAAAGGGCGCGUAGGCGGCCUGAUAAGUAGGGGGUGAAAUCCUGCGGCUUAACCGCAGGGCUGCCUUCUAAACUGUCAGGCUAGAGCACAGUAGAGGCAGGUGGAAUUCCCGGUGUAGCGGUGAAAUGCGUAGAGAUGUGGAGGAACACCGAUGGCGAAGGCAGCCUUCUGGGCCAACACUGACGCUCAUGCACGAAAGCGUGGGGAGCAAACAGG
rnacentral:rRNA from 1 species